rnacentral:rRNA from 1 species
AUUGAACGCUGGCGGCAGGCCUAACACAUGCAAGUCGAGCGGAUGAAGGGAGCUUGCUCCUGGAUUCAGCGGCGGACGGGUGAGUAAUGCCUAGGAAUCUGCCUGGUAGUGGGGGAUAACGUCCGGAAACGGGCGCUAAUACCGCAUACGCCCUGAGGGAGAAAGUGGGGGAUCUUCGGACCUCACGCUAUCAGAUGAGCCUAGGUCGGAUUAGCUAGUUGGUGGGGUAAAGGCCUACCAAGGCGACGAUCCGUAACUGGUCUGAGAGGAUGAUCAGUCACACUGGAACUGAGACACGGUCCAGACUCCUACGGGAGGCAGCAGUGGGGAAUAUUGGACAAAGGGCGAAAGCCUGAUCUAGCCAUGCCGCGUGUGUGAAGAAGGUCUUCGGAUUGUAAAGCACUUUAAGUUGGGAGGAAGGGCAGUAAGUUAAUACCUUGCUGUUUUGACGUUACCAACAGAAUAAGCACCGGCUAACUUCGUG